ensembl:snRNA U6 U6 spliceosomal RNA
GUGCUUGCUUUAGCAGCACAUAUACUAAAACUGAAAUGAUACAGAAAAGAGUCACAUGGCCCCUGCUCAAGGAUGACAUGCACAUUCAUGAAGUCCAUAUUUUU